CCUACGGGGCGCAGCAGUAGGGAAUCUUUCACAAUGGGCGAAAGCCUGAUGGAGCAACGCCGCGUGCAGGAUGAAGGCCUUCGGGUUGUAAACUGCUUUUAUAAGCGAGAAAUAUGAUGGUAACUUAUGAAUAAGGCUCGGCUAACUACGUGCCAGCAGCCGCGGUCAUACGUAGGAUCCGAGCAUUAUCCGGAGUGACUGGGUGUAAAGAGUUGCGUAGGUGGGAUAAUAAGUAGCUAGUGAAAUCUGGUGGCUCAACCAUUCAGACUAUUAGCUAAACUGUUAAGCUCGAGACCGUUAGGGGUAACUGGAAUUUCUAGUGUAGGAGUGAAAUCCGUAGAUAUUAGAAGGAACACCGAUAGCGUAGGCAGGUUGCUGGGACGGUUCUGACACUAAGGCACGAAAGCGUAGGGAGCAAACGGGAUUAGAUACCCCAGUAGUC
rnacentral:rRNA from 1 species